UACGAAGGGGCUAGCGUUGCUCGGAAUCACUGGGCGUAAAGCGCACGUAGGCGGAUUCUUAAGUCGGUGGUGAAAUCCUGGAGCUCAACUCCAGAACUGCCUUCGAUACUGAGAGUCUUGAGUCCGGGAGAGGUGAGUGGAACUGCGAGUGUAGAGGUGAAAUUCGUAGAUAUUCGCAAGAACACCAGUGGCGAAGGCGGCUCACUGGCCCGGUACUGACGCUGAGGUGCGAAAGCGUGGGAGCAAACAGG
rnacentral:rRNA from 1 species